AAAUCUCCUAUCUCAAUUUUGAAAUGGUGAAAAGUGGGUGGACCAAGAGGCCCUGCUGUUUCUAGAUUUUUGCAUUUUUACCUGAGACCAGAUCCAUCUCCAACAAAUUUAUCAGCCUAAAUUCAUCAGCCUAAUACGCAUCUGGACAAGAGACUUCUAAAAACUACUUAAAGCUUCUACUCGAAGUGUUGGUAUGAGGCAUGAUUUAAAUUAAACAUACAGGUACAUAAAAAGCUGAG